rnacentral:piRNA from 1 species
UGCUGGCCGAUCUAGGAUGACCUUAGC